UACGAAGGGGGCUAGCGUUGCUCGGAAUCACUGGGCGUAAAGCGCACGUAGGCGGAUUGUUAAGUCAGGGGUGAAAUCCUGGAGCUCAACUCCAGAACUGCCUUUGAUACUGGCGAUCUCGAGUUCGGGAGAGGUGAGUGGAACUGCGAGUGUAGAGGUGAAAUUCGUAGAUAUUCGCAAGAACACCAGUGGCGAAGGCGGCUCUCUGGGACGGUACUGACGCUGAGACGCGGAAAGCGUGGGGAGCGAACAGGA
rnacentral:rRNA from 1 species